ensembl:lncRNA
CCUAGUUGUGUAGUCAAACACGAGUCUCGGAGUUGCUGUGAAGGUAUUUGUUAGAUGUGAUUAACAUUGUAAUCAGGGGAUUUUGAGUGAAACAGAUUACCCUCUCUUUAUUGGGUGAGCCUCGUUCAGUCAGAUGAAGGCCUUAGAGCAAAGACUGAGGUUUCUCUAAGAAAGAUAAAUCCUGCCUCAAGACUGCAGCGUGGGGCUUCCCUGGUGGCUCAGGGGUAAAGAAUCCGCCUGCCAGGGCAGGACACAUGGGUGCUAUCCCUGGUCUGGGAUGAUCCCGCAUGCUGUGGAUCAACUAAGCCUGUGGCCACAACUAUGGGGCCUCUGCUCGAGAGCCCAGGAAUCAGAACAACUGAACUCACUCGCCACAACUACUGAAGCCCGUGCACCCUAGAGGCCGUGCUCUGCAACGAGAGGAGCCACUGCAGUGAGAAGCCCGCUGCACCACAACUAGAGAAAAGCCCUCUCUCCCUGCAACUAGAGAAAAGCCCUUCUCACUGCAGCUAGAGAACAGCCUUCAUAGCAAUGGAGACCCAGCACAGCCAAAAUAAAUAAAUAAAUAAGAUUAUUUUUUAAAAACGACUGCAGCAUGGUAAGCUGCUUGAGCUUCCAGCCCGCUCGCUUGCUUUGUGGAUUUCAGACCCAAGGCUGCAACAUCAACUCUUACCUGAAUUUCCAGCUUGUCAGCCUGCCCUACAGAUUUGGCAUUUGCCAGCUCCCACAAUCGUGUGAGCCAAUUUAAAAAAAAUGUCUCUCUCACUGUUCUAUUGGUUUGGUUUCUACAGAGAACCUUGACUAAUACAAGUCUUUAAAUUAAAUUGAGCUUCAGCUUGAAAGGUAGGAAGUUUCUCUGUUGUAAACAAACAAUUCCCAAAUCUCAGUGGGCUGGACUCAGUUAAAACUUUAUUUCCCACAUAUCAUGAUCCAACAGAGUGUUGGCAGGUUGGCCGUCUCUGUGGUGAUUAGGGAACCAGGCUUCUCCCCAGUGGCCCUACCAUCUUUCAGGGGUCCUGGGUACUCCCUGGAUCCUUUGCAUCUGGCUGGGAGGGGAGGCAGUGGGCGUGGAGGUCCUCACCAGGGAUGUUCGAGGCCAGAUUCACACUUUCUCCAUAUUCUAGUGUCCCAGAGUUCUGCCACAUGACCACCCAUGGCUGCAGGGACACUGGGACAUGUCUUCCUGGGAGAGUCCAGAAAAGAGAGCGUGUCUUAGAGAGCACUGGGCUUUCUCAUCACACUUGACAACUGCCAACAUGGCUGCAGACAGCUUGGACAACAGGAGAAGUUUUGAGUCACCAGCCACACAGGGAGCCGGAGGUUGGGGAAAGUCCCUCAGUACGGGUGGAGGUGGGCGGCCACUCGAGGCCGGGACAGGGUGUCCCUGUGGUCUCCAGGCGACAUGUGCAGUGCAGCCAGCAGGGGGCACUGUAACCACUCAGGGCUUCUAAUGACAGAGCUCCACCUUGAUAAGCACUUGCCAGAUCAUGGGCAAUAGGAGGAGACAAAGAGGUGAAUUUUGGACCAGCACUUUUUCACCUGGAAGUGACUUACACCAUUCUGGUUGACAUUUCACUGGACAAAGCAAGCCAUAUGGCCAGCCUCAUAUCAAGGGGGUGGAAAGUGUAAUGAAGCCAUCUUUUUUGGAGGGAGGAGAACCAGAAGUAGUUGCUGCACAGGACCCAAGCUACCCCAGUGCCUGGACAGGCUUCAUCAGAGCGUGGAUCCUGACUCAGCCCUGGGAUUGUGACAGACACAAAGGACAGUGCUUCUGUUGCAGACACAAGUGGAGCUACCACGUUCUUUUCCCCUCAGGGAUCGCUCAUUCCAGUGGGGAAAUGCAGAGAAUUCACUGAGAAGAUGUCCAGAAAAAACACCAUCAUUUAAAAAUACCAUCAUAAAAAGGAUCUCCCAGACAACUGAUUACGCAGACCAAGAGCAAUUAUGUGGUUGUGUGCUAUCAUGGGAAGCAGACUCCCCUCGUGUUUCUCUCCAGGCUUGGGACACACAAGAUUUCGGCCCAUUUUCAUUUCCAAAAAUUUCCAUAUGCAAGAUCUCUUAUUCACAA